GACGAACGCUGGCGGCGUGCUUAACACAUGCAAGUCGAACGGAAAGGCCCCUUCGGGGGUACUCGAGUGGCGAACAGGUGAGUAACACGUGAGUAACCUGCCCUUGACUUCGGGAUAACUUCAGGAAACUGGGGCUAAUACCGGAUAGGAAUCCUUGCUGCAUGGUGGGGGUGGGAAAGCUCCGGCGGUUUUGGAUGGACUGGCGGGUUAUCAGCUUGUUGGUGGGGUAGUGGCUUACCAAGGCUUUGACGGGUAGCCGGCCUGAGAGGGCGACCGGCCACAUUGGGACUGAGAUACGGCCCAGACUCCUACGGGAGGCAGCAGUGGGGAAUAUUGCACAAUGGGCGGAAGCCUGAUGCAGCAACGCCGCGUGCGGGAUGACGGCCUUCGGGUUGUAAACCGCUUUCAGCAGGGGCGAAGCUUGUGGUGACGGUACCUGCAGAAGAAGCACCGGCUAACUACGUG
rnacentral:rRNA from 1 species